rnacentral:lncRNA from 1 species
AAAAGGGAGAGGAUAAGUGUAACUAAACCCAUCUACAUACACAGAGACCUAACCUGCAGAGACAGGGUGACACCCCAGUCUAAAGAACCCAAACCCUGCCAACCAAACUGAGGGGCAGAUGAAGAACUGAUCAGAAAACACUCAUUAAGGAAAUGAAGUUUGCAGCUGUAAUUCUUGUCUGGAGAGCUUACCUUCAACCAUAUCCUGUUCAAAUGACUCCAGAGGAACACCAUCAGCCCCAGCACCAAGACUGAGGGGCAACCCAUUAGAGUCUGCAUUCUUGUUGGCUGCAGCAGAAUCUUAAGAAAAGGAUUCAGGACAGCUUCAAGAGCCAAGGAAAUAAAAGGAGACAUUUCUUCAGAUUUCUGAAACAAAGGUAGACUUGCCUCUUUGCCAGUAACAUGAGGGGACUCAAAGAUGGAAACUGCUAUCACCAUCAAGCCAUGAGACUUGAGAUGGAUCUUGAGUAUGCUAAAAGGCUGAGCAUAGAGCUGGCAUGGUACUCUGUGUGAAUGACUUCGUUUGAGUCCUGAAGCCAGUGCUGCUCCUGAUUUUCAGUGAUGUGACCCUUCCCCCAAUUCCUUUCAUGUCAAAGCCAGUUUGGGUGGACAUAUUCUGUCAUUUAGACAGGAGUCUAAACUGACUUAGAGCCGGCAGUCUUGGGCACAGGCAGAGAAAAGGCUGUUGAUACCGACCCAUGUGGCCCUUGAACAGAUUCACUUCCUAGUCAGAGUCAGUGCAAUUCAAAGCUGGUCCACCUUGCUGGCCUCAGGAAUUGCCACAGUCCCCAAACCUAGCACCUGACAUAACCUCACAGGUUACAUUUCCCCACCACUCGGGCUUUUAGGCCAAUUCUCUUCCUCUGAACUGUUCUCUAGGAAAGGCUUAGUUAAUUCACUCACCCUAAAGAAUGCAUGACUCAUCUUAAGUGUUAAAAUAUGUGCAUUUCAAAGGGACACAAAGUAUACAAUAGUGAAUGUAUUUCUAGUGGUGGGCUUUUGUUGGCACUAGAGAAAAUGUGAAAUUUUUCAAGUUGUUCUUGUUCAUAGCAUUUUUAAAAGCCCUUUUCAUUGCGGACAAAUGGGUUUUUCUGUGCCUAUAUAAUGCCACCAUACUGUACUUUUACAAUCAGUAAUGAGUAUAACUACCCACACGGGGCUUCACAGCCUGUCCUACUUCUAUGUAGAAAAAGUACCUUCAGAAACAUGAAGGGAAAAUUGCCAUGCCAAUAGUAAUCAAACAUGUAUAUGCUUCAUAUCAUAGGCAUUGCUCUAAGUACUUACAUAUAACAUCUAAUCAAAUCUUCAGCAUCAGUACUCUGCAAAGUAGCCAUAUUAUGAGGCUUAUGUUAAAGUUGAGGAACUUGAGGUGCAGAGAAAUUAAAUAACCUAAUCAAGGUAGCACUGUGACCAAGCUAAAGAAAACAGCCAAUCUCAAAUCCCUCAGAAUCACUGAGGUAGUGACCAAGCUCAAAUCUCUCAGAAUCACUGAAGUAGUGACCAAGCUCAAAUCCCUCAGAAUCACUGAGGUAGUGACCAAGCUCAAAUCCCUCAGAAGCACUAGGUUAGACAUGUCUUUAGUUUUCCUUGAUUCCCAAGAUGCCUAAUGAAAGCAUUGUUUUAGAAUCAUAAUGUUUGGAAGCCAAUUGAAGUACCUGGUACAUCAUAAAAAUGAGGCGAAGGGAUUAAGGGGACAGUGCUGUUUGUAAAAUGAUUGCCAUCUAAGCUGAGGCUUUGAGUUUAGAUUUCAUGUGGAAUGUCGGGUGUGGCAGCACACAUCUGAAAUCCCAGCUGUGGGGAGGUGGAGACAGGAACAUUCCUAGGAUUUGCUAGCCAGCCAGUAGGGCUGAAUUCAUAAACUCCAGCUUUAGUGAAAGAACCUGUCUCAAAAAUUAAAGAAUAGUACAAGUGAGAAUGACAUUUGAUGUCAAGCUCUGAUUUCCACAUGCACACAUGUACAUAUAUACUUUUACACAGUGCACAUGCAGGACAGGCACACAUGUGUGUAUACGCUCUUACACGGAGCACACGCAGGACAUGCACAUAUGUACAUAUAUGAUCUUACACAGGACAUACACACAUGUACAUAUUUUCUUCUUCCCUUCUUUCCCUUUCCCCAACCCUUUCUCUCUCUCUCAACCUAGAUUUUGUUUUUUUUCUAUUUUUUUGUGGAAAAUACUGAUAAUGUCUAAAUCUUAAAAGUAGACAUGUAAGACCAUAAAAGCUCUUCACUGUCAAAGAAACAAUGGUGUUGGGAAAAAUACCAAAAACAAUUUUGUAAUCCAAUCAGCCACUAAUAAGCCAACUCUUCUGGGUGUAGCACAAAGACUUCACAGAGAAGAAACUGUAGAAGCUGUCAUAGGAAGUCAGUGUAGGAAAGGGUCCUUUGGGUAUGGCAAGGAUGAGAACACAAGUAAGGACACGUGUGGGAGACGUACAGGGAAGAGGCUGAAGAACUUCGAGCCUGGAAGUGAGACUGGGAUGACAGUCCAUGAUUUGGAGAAGUGUCUCCCAAAGGCCUGUGUGUUGAAUGCAUGGUCCCCAGACCACAACAUUACUGGGAGGGGAUAUAACCUCUAAUAGAUAGGAUCUAGUGGGAGGAAUUUCAGUAAUGGGAACAUGUCCUUGAAGAGGAUGUUAAGACCCUGGCCCCUUUUGCUCUCUUUGCCUGGCUGCCUCGAUAUGAGCAAUCUCUUCUGCCACAUGUUCCUGCCGUGAUAGACUAGCUAAGCAUAGACCCAAGUACAACACGAUAAAGUGAUUGUAAACAGCAACCUCCAAAAUCAUGAGACAGCAGCAGCACAAGAGAAACAAACUUUUCCUUCAUUACAAAUUGAUUAUGUCUUUUCACAGAGAUGGAAAGCUGACUAACAUGGAUGGGCAAAUAGGGACAUGAGAACUUAUUAUGCCAAGCUAAGGAAUAAUUUUUUUCUUUGUUUUGUUCAUGGCUGUUCUUCAUCAGUUUGAACUAGAAGUAAUAUUUAUGCUGGGUGGUGUUGGCACACACCUUUAAUCCCAGCACUCGGGAGGCAGAGGCAGGCCGAUCUCUGUGAGUUUGGGGCCAGCCUGGUCUACAGAGUGAGUUCUAGGACAGCCAGGGCUACACAGAAAAACCCUGUCUUGAAAAACAAAAAGAAAAAAGAAAGAAAAGCUUUAUAAACUCUACGGUGUUAGAUCUGGGUGGUUUAGAGCAGUUUUAGGUCCACAGCAGAAUAGAGGGGAAGGUAUGGAGGGCUCCGAUAUACUUCUUGCCCUCACGUAUAUAUAUCCUCCCUCAAGUUUGCUUGGGUCCUGGAAGGAGGGGUUGGAGGGUGUGGAAGGAAAAUGGAAGAGUUCCAGGGAGGCAGGUUUAGAAGCCAGUAGCAUCAGUCAGAGCAGAGCUCUCUGCGCAGCAGCAGAGUGGGGGCCAGAGGAUCAGGUACAUGAAGAGAUAAUAUUUGGAAAGGAGACUAACAAGGCAUCGAGCAUGAAUGAGAAGGAAAAGGCAAUUCAGCCUUUCUGGCCUUUGAGCUGGGAGACCGGUCAGGUAGUAAAGAUUCCUACUUCUUUUCUGCAAUUGGAGACAAGUGUGGAAGCUCACAUCUGUAAUCCCAGUUUUGUGAGAAUGGAUGAUCACCAGUUCUAGAAUGGCUUGGACUAUGAGUAAGAGAAUGUCCCAAGCCAAUCAAACAGAAAAGCAAAGAAUAACAGCAAUACAAAUCAGGGAUGUAGCUUGGUUGGUGGGUAGAGAGCUUGGUUAGCAUACACAAAGCUCUGCGGUAAAGCCCUAGUAAUGUAUAAACCAAGUGUGGUGGUGCUGUAACCCCAGCACUCAGGAGGUGAAGGGAGGGUCAAUAGUUCCAGGUCAUUCUUUGUCCAAGACCAGCUGGGAUGCUGGAGACCUUGCCUCAAAUCACAACAGCAACAACAAACUCAACAGUGAUAGUAAGCACCUACAGCAGAUGAAAUAGAAAGCUAAAGUCCCACCCCAUACCCAGCACUCCUCCCCAGGGCACAGUUAUCAAAGACACUCUGACACAUUUCUUCAGUUUUUGCUAUCCUCAUACUGAACUCAGUUGAUUUUCCAAACCCCAAAAGCACUUAGUUUGUAAAAACACCUCGUAGAGGCCUUGCACUUUUUAGAGAGGAUGUUUCCAGUUCACCACGUGCUUCAUGUCUCACUGGGUAAAGUUUCACGAGACCAAAAUAUUGCUACACAGUGCCCAAGUGUAAGGUGUGAGUAAUUAAAUUGAUAAAUCUUCUUUAUUGUCCCUUCUCCAAGAAUAUAGGUACAUUCAAACCCCAAAGUGAAAAAUAAAAUAUAUUCUCUUUGGUAUUCAAUGCCCUGGAAAUGCCAUCAGGCUUGUGUUUGUAUGUAUAUCAACUUGUAGUUGGGGAGUUAGUUACAGAAACUGUACUCUCUUGUGGUCUAGAUAAUAUCACUUCUGCAAAUUAAAAAUAAGGAAUAUGUUACAGGGACAUGAAGAGACAACACUGAUUGCAUGUGAAGUCAUGGUUGAACAGCAUCCUCUCUACCAUGCACUUGUGUUUAUACACACACCCCACAUACACACAAUAAAAGCCAAUACAAAUUUCAGAGAAAAGAGGCAUGCUUUUUUAUGGCACUACAAUAAAUUGUGAUGCUCACAGUAAUUUGUGAUAUACCUCCAGAGAAUUCACUGGUUGGGAGUGAUUACCACUAACUACAAUACAAUAAAAUUCUAACUCUUUUGCAGAAAAAAAGAAGCUUGUAUCAAAAGAUACAAAACAUCAUGAAAGAGUGGCACUUUGGACAAAAAAUUGUUAAAAUUUUAAGUCUUAUGUUUAAUACUUUUUAGCUUCAAGUAAAAAUAAAUUAUUUAAUAUGUAGCAAGUGCUAAUUGUCGGCCAGUGGUUUUCUUAAAACAUCCUUAAUAGUACAACUUUCCAGAGAGGCAUUUCUAUAGUUCAAAAAGUAAUUCUAGCAUGAAUAGGAAGUAUUAUACAAGGAAUAACUAACAUUAUUAAAUAUUCAUUAUAUACCAGGCACUCCUUCAAAAUGUUCCCUCUUUACAAUCCUACGAUAAGACCCCAUGCUGGUUACUAAUAUUGGUUGCCAGUCUGAUGGGCUCUGGAGUCAACUAAGAUGCAGGCUCCUUGGCACAUCUGUGAAGGAUUUUCUUGAUUAGGUUAACUGAAGUCGUACAAACCACCUUAAGUAUGAGUGGCAGCAUCUAAGAAGGUGUGGGAGCAAAGCUUUUGCUUCUCAACUGUUUGCUUUCCUGUUCUGCUGGUCCUCUGCCCAGCUGUUGCUGCUGCCACUGCAAAUGCUGCUAUUAUCCUUCACUGCUAUAGGAACCCAGCUUCUCGGACCUUCCAACAAGGAGUGAAGACAAAGGGCUCUCUAGGAGUUAUUUUGGGCCAUCCAGUGCCAGGGUGAAAGAGCUGCAGCAUCCAUUCUUGUAGAUUGAGAAUCUCUAUUCUCAACCUCUCUUUUGUGAAGAUACCAUUACUGGACUACCCAAGCCAUGCCAUGUUAGACAAUUGAAAACAUUCCCCUUUAAUAGGUACUGACUCUGUCAGUUCUGUUCCUCUAGAGAACCCUGAAUAUUUACCUUGUUUUCCCAUUUUCAACACAUGCAUUCCAGCUUCUAGUAUUGAGGAUUUUAUAUUCAAGGGCUACUUAACCAGGCUGUUACUUUAGGGUGUUGUGAAGAUUAAUGAAGUUGAUAAAAUAUUAGCUACAUGGACUAGAAACAAAAGGAAUAUUUAAAUGAUUAAAUUCAGAAUUGGAGGUGGACAUUUUGUUUUGAAACCAGGAAGUCUUACUGUGUUGUCCAAACUGGCCUAGAACUUCUGAAUUUGGGAGAUCCUCCUACCUCAACUUCCCUAGUUGCUACAAGCAUAUGCCAUCAUUCCUGCCUUAGAAAAGGGUAUAUUAAUGCAAAUUCUACAGAAAUAAAAAGUAUAACAGAGGAAAAUGAACAAUUGGAGGCCAACAAAGGGUAUUACUUAGAUGAAAUGGAAAAGUCCUUAAGAACACAAAACCUAUCAAGACUAAAUUUUAAAGAAAUCAAUAACUCAAACAGAUGUAUAAAAAGAAAAGAAAUUGAAAAAGUGAUAAAAUAACAAUCCGGAAAAGAAAAGCACUGCAGCAAGUUUGGCCAAAUAUUUAAAGAAACAAGAAUAAUCCUUCUCAAACUUUUCCAAAAUAACCAGAGGAAGGCUGCUUCUUAUGUUAUCCCAUGAAACAAUAGCCCCACACCAAACUCAGAAAGACACACCACCACAAGAAAAGAAAACUGCUGGGAUGUGGUGUUACAUGUCUAUAAUCCCAGAAGCUGGGGGACCAGUGCAGGAGGAUCAAAGUUUGUGGUCAGCUUGAGACAUAUAUUGAGACCUUGUUUCAAGGAACCCAGCUAAGGAUACACUUCAGAGGAGGGGUAUUCACUUAGCACGAGCAAGGUCCUGGAUUUUUUUUUCUCUUCUUUCUUUCUUUCUUUCUUUCUUUCUUUCUUUCUUUCUUUCUUUCUUUCUUCCUUCCUUCCUUCCUUCCUUCCUUCCUUUCUUUCUUUCUUUUCUUUUUUUUUGGGGGGGGGAUUUUUCCAGACAGGGUUUCUCUGUAUUGUUUUGGAGCCUGUGAUAGAACUCACUGUGUAGACUUGGCUGGCCUCAAACUCACAGAGAUUCACCUACUUCUGCCUCCCAAGUGCUGGGAUUAAAGGCAUGCGCCACCAAUGCCCUUCAGGUCCUGGAUCUUCAAUCCCCAG